CUUUAUUAAAAAAACAACAAAAAAAAAAAUCCAUCAGGGCUGAGAAGAAAGAGACCGAAAGGGGACGCAAGAUCCCAGGAGAGGAGAUGGAAAGUUCCCGGGACAAGCCAGGGCUUCGACCGAGGACAGGAUCCCAGGGAGCUGCACAGUGAAUAUACACCUGCCUGAACCAAGAUUAGAAUUCACCUUCACUGGGAAGGAGCAGAAGGUAUCCAUCAACCCUUCUUGAAUUUCCAAAGAAAAGGAGCCUAAAUCUGACUCCCAGGAAACACCUUCAACUCGUGCCCUUCCUCAGCUGUACCCACAACACCCAAGGCCCCACAAGGUCCACACCUAAACCUCUCUGUAAUGAAACUCAGGCUGUAAUCUGGAGGGCCUCUGGACCCCUAGCGGGUGGGGGAGCCCCCUCCUUGGGCGCAGUGGAGCUUAGUGAUGGAGUUCUGGAGAGCGGGCAGAGGAAGGGGGCUCCCACUCUACAAGAUGAGAUCUCCCAGUGAUAAAUGUAUAGUCCCCAAGGACUUCACUGUGAGGAUAUGUCACGUAUCAUCUCAUUUAAUCCUCCAGGAGCUAUUCCCAUCACAGAUAUGAGGAGACCAAGGAGCUGACCCAAAGGUUAAUGUGCCCAGAGUCAUAGGGCUGGUCAAAGGAAGGGGCCAGGUGACCCCAUGGCCCUCUGGUCACCACCAGGCUAUCCUACCUCCUCCGUGGAUAGAUGUCAAGUCUGAGGAGUUGGUGGACCACCAGCAAGAGUGACCUUGGCACCCAGGGAAGGUCGUCCUGAUCUGCUGCCGAGAGCACCCAGAGCAGGUGGGAGAAGACCCAAAACCAGGUCAGGGGAGGACUUUGGAAGAAUACGCCUCCAGUCCACAGGCCAAAUGUUUUCAUACCUCAUGGAGGCAUAUUGAUGUAUCAUAUAAUUCAUCCAUUUCACUAUACAGUUGAAUGGUUUUUAGUAAAUUUAUAGUCAGGUUGUGUAAUAAUUAACAUAAAUAUGUUUGAUAACAAUCUUCAUUAUCCCAGUAACAUUUCCCCAUUUUCCAAACCUGUUUACCUGCAGGUCAAAAUCUAACCCACAGAUGUAUUUAAGCCACCAUAUUUUAUUUUUUAAAUAUUUUAUUUAUUUAUUUGGCUAUGCUGGGUCUUAGUUGCGGCUAUGUGAGAUCUAGUUCCCUGAUCAGGGAUUGACCCCAGGUCCCCUACACUGGGAGCAUGGGCCACUGGGGAAGUCCCAGGGCCACCAAAUUAUAAUUUUUUUUUAAUUUGUAGCUUUUUGA
rnacentral:lncRNA from 1 species